UACGUAGGGGGCAAGCGUUGUCCGGAAUCAUUGGGCGUAAAGAGCGUGUAGGCGGUCCGAUAAGUCGGUUGUGAAAGUCCAGGGCUCAACCCUGGGAUGCCGACCGAUACUGUCGGACUAGAGUUCGGAAGAGGCGAGUGGAAUUCCCGGUGUAGCGGUGAAAUGCGCAGAUAUCGGGAGGAACACCUAUGGCGAAGGCAGCUCGCUGGGACGUUACUGACGCUGAGGAGCGAAAGCGUGGGGAGCGAACAGG
rnacentral:rRNA from 1 species